rnacentral:lncRNA from 1 species
GCCGGACCAGCUCUCCCCGUCAGCUCCAGGCUCUCGAAUGACAGCGGAUGCCAGCGACCGGGGAUGGGGUCCCGGAAUUGCUGGGUUAAACAAGGGGAGGGACCCAGAGCUGGAGGCUUAGCCCUGGAGAUACCGGUGAAGAUGGAUGAAUGAGAAACCAGUUGGAGCUUCCAAGGCCUGUCGUCCAUCAGGAGAAGCAAAAGGUUUUAUUCUAGAGACAAGUCCUUCCAACUGUACAGCUGAUGGAGUGGCCAAGGAAACCUGGUAUGGACCCUUUCAUUUCUCAGUGAACUGAGCCUCUGGGCUUCCUUUUCGCCAUGUCUUGAGUAGGACCUGUGCACCUGGGCUAGCAGGGAAAUGAUCUGAAACUCCAUGACCCGGCUGAGGUCACAUCUUAUUAUCAUAUUGGAAGAUGGCCUGCUGAACUUGUCCCAAGUUAAUGAUGUCUUUUACAGCCUGAUUUAACUCUUCGUCUAGAAGAAAGUGGCUAGGAAGAGGCUAGCAACAGGAGGAGUGGGUUGGGCAGAUUCAUUCUGUCCCAGCUUCCUAGGAUGGAA